rnacentral:rRNA from 1 species
CGGAGGGGACUAGCGUUGUUCGGAAUUACUGGGCGUAAAGCGCGCGUAGGCGGAUUUGCAAGUCGGGGGUGAAAGCCCGAGGCUCAACCUCGGAACUGCCCUCGAUACUGCAAAUCUCGAGUCCGAGAGAGGUGAGUGGAAUUCCUAGUGUAGAGGUGAAAUUCGUAGAUAUUAGGAAGAACACCAGUGGCGAAGGCGGCUCACUGGCUCGGUACUGACGCUGAGGCGCGAAAGCGUGGGGAGCAAACAGGAUUAGAUACCCUGGUAGUCCACGCCGUAAACUAUGGGUGCUAGCCGUCGGGGAGCUUGCUCUUCGGUGGCGCAGCAAACGCAUUAAGCACCCCGCCUGGGGAGUACGGUCGCAAGAUUA